UUAGAUACCCUACUAUACUAGUAAAAACCUAGAUUAUUAGAAGAAUAUGAUCUUUAAACUUGAAGAAUUUGGCGGUGGUUAAUCUUAUUAGAGGAACCUGUUUUUAAAUCGAUACACCACGCAAAAUUUCACUCAUUUUAAUAAGUUUAUAUACCGUCAUUAUCAGAUGAUUUUUAAAAAAUUUAAUCAUUAAUAUUUAAAUAAGUAAAUAAAAUUAGAUCAAGGUGUAGCUUAUAAAUGAGUUAAAAUGGGUUACAAUAAAAUGUAUUUAUUACGGAUUAGCAGUAAGAAGAAGGAUGCUAUAAAGGGGGAUUUAAUUGUAAUGUAGGUUUAAUAAGCCUGAAAGAUAUAAGCUCUAAAUCAUGUACAUAUCGCCCGUAGCU
rnacentral:rRNA from 1 species